GCCUGACUUUGAGUUUCACCAGCUUUUCUACUAACGCCCUCUUCCUGUUCCUGAGUCCCAGGGUAUCACAGUAAACUUAAUUGUGUUCUUGCCUCAUUUUCUUCUGGUCUGUGACAGUUUCUCAGGUUUGCCUUGUUUUUCAAGACCUUAACAUUUGUGAGAAUGACUAGUCAGAUAUUUUGUAGGAAUGUUCCUCAAUAUGAGUUUGUGUGAUGUUUUGCUCAUGAUUGGACUGGGGUUAUGAGAUUUUGGAAGGAAGAUCACGGACUUGAAGUGCCCUUCUCACCACCUCAUAUCACAGGUCCAUGAGAUCAACAUGAUGUGACCGGUGAUGGUAUCCUUCAUCACUUGAUUAAGUCUUAGAUUGAGCCAUUUCUCCGUGUAGCCCUGGUUCCUUUUGUUGGAGGACAGCACUGGAAACCAAGAUCUGGAUGCCACGUCUGCUCAAUGCUACUGCAGUUUCAUUGCUUUUGGGCCCUCUCCAUGAACAGAGCAAGGAAAUAUACAGUCUCACGUUGUCGUCCAGGCUGGAGUGCGGCGAUCUCAGCUCACUGCAACUUCCACCUCCCUGGUUCAAGCAAUUCCCCUGCCUCAGCCUCCUGAGUAGCUCGGAUUACAGGUGCACAGCACCAUGCCCGGCUACUUUUUUUGUAUUUUUAGUAGAGAUGGGGUUUCACCAUGUUGGCCAGACUGGUCUCAAACUCCUGAUCUCACCCAAUUCCCCUGCCUCAACCUCCCAAAGUGCUGGGAUUACAAGCGUGGGCCACCGUGCCCAGACCUGAACCAUUUUUAAGUUUACAGUUUUCCUUUUGUCUUUUGAGGUUAAAAAGGCUUAGGUAUUCUACAAACAACAAAUGUCCCUCUAAAGUUGUUUAGUUUAUGAUUAAGGCUGUGAUGAAACCUUCCCGGGCUAAUAGCAAGAAGGAGAACCUGGAAUAAGAAGAAUGCAAUGGGCUUUGCAAGGUGGAGGGCAAUGGACUUUGCAAGGCAUGUGCUGUAGGAGGACCAGCUUCCCCCAGGCAUUGCAUCUGCACCGUGGACGUGUUGGUGGCAGCUCUUGGCCAGGUGGCAGAGAUCAAGUAUCCACCAGGGCCCUAACAAACCUCUACAACAUUCUGUCAAGACACAGUGCGAAGUACUGUACAAUUUUCUCUUCAUACCUUCUUGAUCUUUGAAUUAUUGUCAAGUCCUCAAGUGAGGAUCUUGAUAAUCGGCCAAACAAAAGCAGAAACAACACUUAGGUGGGUAUGGAUCACCAGGACAGCAGUUAAGGAAAGCAAUCCCCACCAACCUCCUCCCUGCUGGCAACAAAGGAUCACAGUUCUGAAGCUUAGUCAUUAACUAGCCUGGCGACCCCAACAAUGUCCAAACCCUGGGUGGGGUCACGUUUUACACUUCUCAACACCCUAUAUAUGUUUGAACAGAAAGGGACUAUUUGUUAGAAAGGGUUACAUGGCAGUUUCCUUAAAAUAGCUACAAAAACAGGGGGCAGAGUCUUAGGGCAGUGGAAGGAGCCUCCAGUGCACACCUUCUCACCUGCUGCUCUCACCUGCUCACCAGCAGCUGUCCCCUGCUUGCCUGAAACAGUCACCUGCUCACCGGCUGCCCUUUUACCUGUUCACCUGAAACUCUCACCUGCUCACCUGAAACUCUCACCUGCUCAGCUGCAGUUCUUACCUGCUCACCUGCAGCUCUCUCCUGUUCAUCUGCAGCUCUGCUCCACAGGUCAGACACUAAUAUUAAGGAGCAAGUGAAAUUGUCAGGAUGGAACAAGCAAUUUCACAAUGCUGGAAAUCUGUUCAUCCUACUGCAAGUCACCCACACUACCUACCCUCCACAAAUGAGACCUAAUUCUUUGCCCUCCAUGGUAUCCACAGUUACUGCUCAAAGACCAAUGGGAAUAAUAGUGACCCAACUCUAUCCCAGAUACCCUUGGGCAUCUUCAGGAAAUCCUCUCUUGCUUUCCAGCCAGAAUCUGAGAUCUGUCUGAGAAGAGCAGAAUGAAAUUAUCCCUUUUCUGCUGAAGGAGCUAGCCUAGAGUCAAGGGUGUUACAAUGUGAGGCUAAUUACUGUAGCCUUUUAACAUUCUUUUCUCUGAGGCCCUCCUGGGAAGGAUAAAAUAAAAUGCUGCAUAAUAAUAGGUGAAAUGAACGGUGAACUGGGAACCUUCACUUGCUGCAUGACCUUGGACAAAGUAGUUGACCCAGACUUGCAAUCUCAUUAACACAAAGGGAAAAAGAGAGAAAAAGGCCCCUUUCUUUUUUUUUCACCAGAGCAUGGGGCAUCAGAGAGGAGCCAGGAUGGGUCAGAGAGGACCCUCCUACUAAAUAGACCUGGGGAGGUGGCACAGCCUUGUUGGAGACACAAUGCUUGGCUGUAUAGCUUUGGAUUCUCCAUUAUGGAACCCCUUACAUUUUCCUGAGAACUUUUGUUCAUUUGGAAGUCUCAGUUUUAUUUUCCCUACAGACGUUUUGUUUUAAUUGCAAGCCAUAUCAUACAUACAAAAGUGUAAAGAAAGCUUAUGUACAGUUUAGAAACUAAUAAUAAAAUGAACACCAGUGUAUUUACCUUUCAGGACAGAAAUAAAAUCUUACCAUACCUUGG
rnacentral:lncRNA from 1 species